rnacentral:rRNA from 1 species
AGUGAACGCUGGCGGUAGGCCUAGCACAUGCAAGUCGAACGGCAGCACAGUAAGAGCUUGCUCUUACGGGUGGCGAGUGGCGGACGGGUGAGGAAUACAUCGGAAUCUACUUUUUCGUGGGGGAUAACGUAGGGAAACUUACGCUAAUACCGCAUACGACCUACGGGUGAAAGCAGGGGAUCUUCGGACCUUGCGCGAUUGAAUGAGCCGAUGUCGGAUUAGCUAGUUGGCGGGGUAAAGGCCCACCAAGGCGACGAUCCGUAGCUGGUCUGAGAGGAUGAUCAGCCACACGGGAACUGAGACACGGUCCAGAUUCCUAGGGGAGGCAGCGGUGGGGACUAUAGGACAAUGGGCGCAAGCCUGAUCCAGCCACACCGCGUGGGUGAAGAAGGCCUUCGGGUGGUAAAGCCCUUUUGUUGGGAAAGAAAAGCAGCAGGUUAAAACCCCGCUGUUCGGACGGUACCCAAAGAAUAAGCACCGGCUAACUUCGU